AAUACCCCAUAAUAUGGUACCAUCGCAUGAUGGAACUAUAAAAGCUUAGGCGGUAAGGAUGGGCAUGCGUGACAUUAGCUAGUUGGUAGGGUAACGGCCUACCAGGCUACGAUGUCUAGGGGUUCUGAGAGGAAGGUCCCCCACACUGGUACUAGACACGGACCAGACUCCUACGGGAGGCAGCAGUGAGGAAUAUUGGUCAUGGGCGCGAGCCUGAACCAGCCAUCCCGCGUGCAGGAAGACGCCCUAUGGGUUGUAAACUGCUUUUGUGCAGGAAGAAUGUGCCCAUCGUGUGGGUAGUGACGGUACUGCAUGAAUAAGCACCGGCUAACUCCGUGCCACAGCCGCGGUAAUACGGAGGGUGCAAGCGUUAUCCGGAUUUAUUGGGUUAAAGGGUGCGUAGGCGGUAAAAUAAGUCAGUGGUGAAAAGCUGCAGCUCAGUAGUCCUGCCAUUGAAACUGGUUUACUUGAGUAACCAUGAGGUA
rnacentral:rRNA from 1 species